GUCCUCGUAGCGCAAUGGUUAGCAUCUGAAGUUUCUUAGCGUUUGAUUUUCACCCCAGCGAAUACCUAAGGGCAGCGGAAGACGUCGGUUUGAAUCCGACCGAGGACA